rnacentral:rRNA from 1 species
UAGAGUUUGAUCCUGGCUCAGAACGAACGCUGGCGGCAGGCUUAACACAUGCAAGUCGAACGCACCUUUCGGGGUGAGUGGCAGACGGGUGAGUAACGCGUGGGAACAUGCCCUUUAGUUUGGAAUAACCCAGGGAAACUUGGGCUAAUACCGGAUACGCCCUACGGGGGAAAGAUUUAUCGCUGAAGGAGUGGCCCGCGUCUGAUUAGCUAGUUGGUGAGGUAAUGGCUCACCAAGGCGACGAUCAGUAGCUGGUCUGAGAGGAUGAUCAGCCACAUUGGGACUGAGACACGGCCCAAACUCCUACGGGAGGCAGCAGUGGGGAAUAUUGGACAAUGGGCGCAAGCCUGAUCCAGCCAUGCCGCGUGAGUGAUGAAGGCCUUAGGGUUGUAAAGCUCUUUCGGCGGGGACGAUAAUGACGGUACCCGCAGAAGAAGCCCCGGCUAACUUCGUGCCAGCAGCCGCGGUAAUACGAAGGGGGCUAGCGUUGUUCGGAAUCACUGGGCGUAAAGGGCGCGUAGGCGGCUAUAUAAGUCGGGGGUGAAAGCCUGUGGCUCAACCACAGAAUUGCCUUCGAUACUGUAUGGCUUGAGACCGGAAGAGGUAAGUGGAACUGCGAGUGUAGAGGUGAAAUUCGUAGAUAUUCGCAAGAACACCAGUGGCGAAGGCGGCUUACUGGUCCGGUUCUGACGCUGAGGCGCGAAAGCGUGGGGAGCAAACAGGAUUAGAUACCCUGGUAGUCCACGCCGUAACGAUGAAUGCCAGCCGUUGGGCAGCUUGCUGCUCAGUGGCGCAGCUAACGCUUUAAGCAUUCCGCCUGGGGAGUACGGU